rnacentral:tRNA from 1 species
UGGAGAGAAGUUUAGUGUGAAAUACCAGUUUUGGGAGUUGAGAUGAGAUAGAGGUUUAGGUUCUCUCUUUUUGA